AAGGACAUAGUAUAAUGGUAGUAUAUCCGUCUUCAAAACGGUCGGCAGAGGAUCGUUCCCUCUUGUCCUUG
rnacentral:tRNA from 1 species